UAUGUACUCCAUCCGUCCGAAAAUACUUGUCAUCAAAAUGGAUAAAAGGGGAUGUAUCUAGAUGUAUUUUAGUUCUAGAUACAUCUUUUUUUAUCCAUUUUGAUGGCAAAUAUUUUUGAACGGAGGGAGUACCUA
rnacentral:pre_miRNA from 1 species